GGGAGCAAACAAUCAAAAGAUUUCAUAUAAAAAUAGGGGCUUUGUGGAGUUCAAGUGCAAGAAAUGACAAGGAGAACAAAUAAGAUACUAUUGUGAUACGCAAAUAGCUUACGUCGAGAGGUAACGAAUGCUAUUACUUCCUGAAGGGCUCUGAGGUCCAGUUCUCACUUAAAGAAAGAGUUGACUAAUCUCAUAUAACAACUUGGUGAUAAUGGGUUGAGCAACCCUGAGAAGUAAAUAUUUGAAAUUUCAUGCAAAAGAUGCUUGCUCCAAAAGUCUUGUAGAUGAUGAUGAUUAGAGGUCAUUGCCGUCAAACAUGGUAGCCUGACAGAUUUUUAACAGAUCGAUUCAUUCCUUUUGGUUAAUGGACUUGGUCAAUAUUGCUGUUGGGAAUUGCCUCUGCUAAACGUCACAACCAUUUUUGUAUAUAAAAAGAAAGAGAAAGCAUAUGUAAUGUCUACCAGGUCUUAAUCUUAUCAUUAGCAAUCAAAAUAACCGACUACACGAUGCAUCACACUUCCCUAACAUAUGGAGAAAAAAUAUCUUAUAAAACUUCACUCCUUAGUAAGUACCGUCAAAUACUUAUUAUAUAAAAAUUUAUCAUUUUAAGUACCGUCAAAUAGUUAUUAUAUAAUAAGUUAUAAUUUUAAGUCAAUUCAUAUUUAUAUUUACAUUUAUAUUGACUUCUUUUUGUUUUCAUCUAUUAGGACUGAUCUAUUUUUUAAGAUGUGCUUCUAUUUCAGUCUUUUGGUCUUGAUUGUUUCUUUGUCCCUUCUUUGAGGAGAUCAGUUGUGGUCGGAAUGAGCCACACUUUAAUUAACUUAACUGAAAGUGAUAGACAUGGUGUACUAUGUAGUGAUAGACAUGGUGUACUAUAUAAAGUAAGUGUUGUCCUCACCAGUCUUUGAUGCAAUUUGGUGAACACCGGUGUUAAGCUUUAACAUCUGAGACAUGGAAAAAUUGGCUUACAACUGUUGACACAUAAAAUUUGAUAUGGUCAAGCAACUUUUGUGCGGUGUUUCUUAAAGACAAUGCUAUAUUAUGGGAAUCUCUCAAACUAAGAGAAGGCUUAACCAGCUGAUGUUUGCAAUGAGGGCUAUUAGUAUUUCGCAAGUGAAGAAA